CCUACGGGUGGCUGCAGUAGGGAAUCUUCCACAAUGGGCGAAAGCCUGAUGGAGCAACGCCGCGUGGGUGAAGAAGGUCUUCGGAUCGUAAAACCCUGUUGUUAGAGAAGAAAGUGCGUGAGAGUAACUGUUCACGUUUCGACGGUAUCUAACCAGAAAGCCACGGCUAACUACGUGCCAGCAGCCGCGGUAAUACGUAGGUGGCAAGCGUUAUCCGGAUUUAUUGGGCGUAAAGGGAACGCAGGCGGUCUUUUAAGUCUGAUGUGAAAGCCUUCGGCUUAACCGGAGUAGUGCAUUGGAAACUGUGCAGCUAGAGUGCAGGAGAGGUAAGUGGAAUUCCUAGUGUAGCGGUGAAAUGCGUAGAGAUAACGCAGAACUCCGAUUGCGAAGGCAGCAUACCGGCGCCCAACUGACGCUGAAGCACGAAAGCGUGGGUAUCGAACAGGAUUAGAUACCCUAGUAGUC
rnacentral:rRNA from 1 species